UGAAGGGAAGAGCAAUGGUUUGGACUU
rnacentral:piRNA from 1 species